rnacentral:tRNA from 1 species
GCUGGUGUAGCUCAGUUGGUAGAGCAUUCCCUUCGUAAGGGAUAGGUCGACGGUUCAAUUCCGCCCACCAGCU